rnacentral:lncRNA from 1 species
GCAAGUCUUUCUCUUCUUGCUGGACUGUCAACUCCCUCAAGGCAGGGGCCGUGUGAAAUUUAUUCAUCUUUGUAUCCAUAGUCUCUGGCACUGAGAAGGUGCUCAAUACAUAUUUGUUGGGCUCAACUGAAAUUGAGUAAGACACUUCUCCAUGUCCACCUACAGGCUGUGACUUAGAUCCACAGUUACCAGCAGGAAGGAGGUAUGGUGAAUACAUGAAUGUGUCUUAAAGUGUUCUCCAGAGGCAAGAAUUCUGGACUUUUUCCCAAGAUACCAAGUAUGUAGUCCACUCUGAUACAAACAGGAUCUCAUGAGAUAGAGUAAUAGGUAGCAAAAAAAAAAAAAUCUUUUUUGUUUUGUUACAAAUUAGGCAUUUAAGUGUGUCAUCAGAGUUUAACAAAGUGCUUUCAGAUAUGUUGUCAGGAUCAACAGGAAAAGGAAAAUACAUGCAGCAGUAGAAGCACAGCUGUCAAGUGGAAUAUCCAUGAAAUCAGACAGACAGGAGCUGAGCAGUGAUGCUGGCCUUGUAGGAGAGCAGGUCAUUGUGAUCUCCUAUCUCUAUUCCUGAGAAGAGGAUAAAAAUCAGGACUCUGCA